AACAGCAUAGCAUUCAGCAUCCAAACUCAUGUAACUUCAUGCAAUUGAUCAAAAAUGAAGUCUAGCAAAAACUCACGAAUCAGCAGGGCAAUGCAUCAAGUUCAUCAUCAUUAUUGACCAACAACAACCAAACACGACAAGCACAAUUCAAAGGAUUUUUCUGGGCAGCUUACAAUAGCAACACAGCAGGGGAUUGAUACAAACAUGUUCAUGCAUACCUAGC
rnacentral:lncRNA from 1 species